ACUGAAGAGAAGGGCUCGGCCACCGCUCCCUCCUCUUCCAACAAAAUGCCAGUGCCUGAAAGAAGCUGUUCUUCCCAAGGCAUCAGACUUUGCAACCCUGAAAGCCCCACUGACAGCAACUUCUGCUGCUUUGUUUUAUUUUCCUUUCCUCCUUCAGGUGGAAAUGCUGAGAGGGAAUUGUUGCCAGAACUCGAUUUCUGCAUCGCUAUUGUAGAAAUGUCUGGCAGCGGGGAAGAGGCGUUGUUUUGCUGCACAAGGGGGGCAAGUGGGACCUGCAGAUGAUUUGAGAAAGGCUUCAAACCCAACCCAGCCAGAUCCCAGGAGAAAUCCUACUGUGAGACCUACUUGGAUGGGAGAAAUGAGCUGGAAAAUCAACUUGGAACAUCUCAAAGCAAGCCAGUAAGGUUUGGUGGAGAUGAACCACACCUUGAGCAGGCAGAUCUGGAGAGCAGACACUGAUUAACACUCACCAGCAGUCUGGCCUGACUCCCUGGGAAGAUGAUGCUAUUUUUGUCUGCCCUUUUCAGAGCCACAUUCACCACUGAAACCCUGCCACAUGCUGAAUUAUGGGCUGGAUGGAUGAUUCCAAGGUGGAGCAGAUGUUUAUCUCAUUUGCGUCCACACUUUUUUAAACGUUUCACGUGUAGGAAAAUGAUGAAAGCAAGAAGAUUAAAACAUGGAUGCCCAAAGUCUAAUUAACAUCCCCCUGUGCUUUCAGAUGUCCAUACCCUGCAGCUGUGAGCUUGGUCCAUGAUGCCAGCCCUGUGGCAAAGGGAUAUUAGCACCUCAUGGCCACUUGGAAGUUGGUUACUCCUUGGCUCAAAGGCUCCUGCAUCUUGGAACAUCUGGGCGGGAGAGGUUCGUGAAGUAAAUCAAAACAAGCUACAGGAAAUUCUAGACAUGGUAAAGGUUCCUUGGCUGAAUGAUUGAUUCACAGUUUGCAAGAAGUGUUGUGCUGGUUUUGGCUGGGGUAGAGUUAAUUUUAUUCAUGGUAGCUGUGUGGAGCUGUGUUUUUGAUUUCUGCUGAAGACAGAAGAUGGAAUAUUUGGAGUGAUUGUUGCUUGUCAUCCCAAGUCACUGUUACACAUAAUGAAGCCCUUUUCCCCUGGGGAUUCCUGAAAAAUUCCUGCACAUAGGAAUGAAUUCCUUGGUUUGGUUUGCUUGCACA